AAGGGUAACAAACUCUUGCCAGACCGCCGCAUUGGAAUUAAGCUUUGUGUUUGCUUUGUGCCUCAACUAACCUUCGUGUAUCUUCCUUCUUAGGUUGAUUUCAAGCCCUGGAUUCGUUUCUGGUUCGUUUUCUGACUUCUGGAAUAGUUGAAUUUCCUGACUCUUGGACAAGAAGUCUUCUGGAUCAAAGUUCAAGUCUCCAGUUACCCUCUUCGGAAAAACUUCGAGCUGGCAGCUUCCCAACUCCUUGAUAAUCCGGACCAAGACAUAAGCGAGCCCUGUUCACCCUCCAAUCUGCUCUCACGCAAGUACCUCCACCCAGUGCUCCACACCACCAUCUCUCACAUUCUGGACUAAGUUGGGCAGGCCUCCCCAGGAACCACCUACCUUGGAUAACUCUCCUUCAAGUCAUCUCCGGUCCUGGGAUCCCAGACUCCACAUUUCUCUUUACCCCUGGCGGCUCAGUCCUCUCUCCCACCGCACUGCAAAGGCACUAAAUAUAGAAGUUCUGGCCGCCAUAUUCAUCAGAGCAGCAGAGGAGUGAGUGAGUGCAGCGCUGGUUGAAGAAACCAAGACUUAACCAGAGAGCGUGUACAUGCCUGUUAGUGUGAAUGAGCCUGGGUUUUAAGAGUGCACUUAACCAAAACAUUUUUGCAUGUGUUUGUUGUCAGGCAAACAUUUGCAUCAUUCCAGGCAUGCUGAUGUAGUAUAAUGCUUGGAAACUUGUUUAUUUACUUGUGUGAAUUCAUGCAAGUGCUUUAAAUACAGCUAAGAAGUGUCCUCUGUAGGAAAAUACACAGAUAUGCCUAUGGUAAAAAGAUUUGACAAAGGUAAGUGAAAAUAAAUUAUUCACUUAUUUUGCUUUAGUUUGAAGGGAUUUUGAAGAGAGAACAGUUUACUGUAAUCCUGAAACCAUAACAUGUCACAUUCCCUCAGAACAUGAUAAAAUCACAGCUCCAGUAGAAUCUAUGAAGAGAGACAGAGAGCACCACUGAUAACCUGAAGACUCUCAUCAUAGGGCGAUGAGAUAGAAAGACAGAGAAACGCUAAAGGAUCAUCGAGUCUGAGCUGGUUUUAGGCUUGUUUUAUUUUAGGCACAUAAAGCAUAUCUGCUGGACAGAUGGGAGCCUUGACUCAGACUGAGUCUACAGUAUGACAGCAUUAGCAGAUCCAGCCUCGGUUUGGCCAUAACCGUUUGUCUUAUUGUCUGCGAUGUCCCUGAUUCUUAAAAUCAAACUGUUUACGGAGAUGCUGAGAUAAAAAACACAAAACAUGUCAGACAAAUUACAUGUUUGAAGUAAGAGCUGCUGUUAUCUUUAGCUUCUCGUCCCAACUGUGUUUUAACAGCUUUGAGUUUAUUCUUUUAGGUUUACAGUCUGCAAAAAAAAACUGAAUUACACAUCAUUCCAUUAAAGUUCAAAUUCAAAAAUUCCUUAUGAAUCAUAUAUUAAAAUUAAA